GUAGGUACAGUUCGAUGGACGAGCGUUUGGCUUCUAACCAAAAAGUGUAGGUUCGAUUCCUACUACCUAUA
rnacentral:tRNA from 1 species